rnacentral:rRNA from 1 species
UGGGUGGCGAGUGGCGGACGGGUGAGGAAUACAUCGGAAUCUACUCUGUCGUGGGGGAUAACGUAGGGAAACUUACGCUAAUACCGCAUACGACCUACGGGUGAAAGCAGGGGAUCUUCGGACCUUGCGCGAUUGAAUGAGCCGAUGUCGGAUUAGCUAGUUGGCGGGGUAAAGGCCCACCAAGGCGACGAUCCGUAGCUGGUCUGAGAGGAUGAUCAGCCACACUGGAACUGAGACACGGUCCAGACUCC